CAAAUUAAGAGUAUCUUCAUGAAGGUUGAAAAGACGAGAGGAUUAAAAAGGUGUAUAGCGUAAUUAUAUAAUUAUGGGGGAAAUCACAGAGGAAGUUCACCGCUGUCUGCAAUGACGACUUUGCUCUUCGGAGUGCCAUUCUGCCUCCCUUCAGCUUCAACCUUGUAAACUACAUCCAUCCCCGAUAGCACCUUUCCAAAUACAACAUGCCUGCCAUCCAACCUGCAAGCCAUUCCAAUGAUAAGUUGACAAAGAUAAAACAUCUUAUAUGGUAGAAAAAUCAAACAUCUGGGGUUUUAAAUUGAUCAUAAUUGUGAAUGCUUUUAUAAUCCACAUUGUUCUUCUGCAGCACAUGUAACACAACUAGGGUCAUAUUUAAGAGUCCAGACAAGCAUAUCUGGCUAAAGCGGAGGCCUCCAAAAGGCGUGAUUUGCAGAAAUUUGUACAAAAUAGCAUUACAUGAACUAAUAUCCCUAUGAGGGAUACCAUACACAUGAUAAAGUAAAGAUUUAAAAAAUUUCAAAGUAAGAAAAUUUGCUUAGAUUAUGCUUUCCAUUUAUCUCUUUGUGGGUGCAGAUAUAAUUACCAGCUAGUUGUCACAGUUGUAAUGAAGAAUUGUGAACCAUUGGUGUCUGGCCCAGCAUUUGCCAUUGACAAAAGCCCUGUUCACAGAAUUUAAUAUUCGUUACAUUGAAUGCUUUUAACCAUUGAAUAAUGCUUGCAUGGCCGUAUACAAACCAAUCAAAAGAAUGGGCUAAUAAGUGUACCUGGGCCGGUGUGCUUCAGUUUGAAAUUUUCGUCAGGGAACUUCUCUCCAUAAAUUGACUCUCCACCUCUUCCAUCACCAAGAGUGAAAUCACCUCCUUGAAGCAUAAAGCUGGGAAUAAUCCUAUGAAACGUACUUCCCUUGUAGUGGAGUGGCUUCCCACUCUUGCCAAUCCCUUUCUCCCCUGAAAUGAUAAAGUGAUAUACAACAAAACAACGGCCAAGUACACCGUUACUAUCCAAUGGUUCAAAUACAUUGAAAAUGAUAUGCCAUUAAAAUUUCAUUUGCAGUUUUACACAGUUUUUGGAAUUCCCUAUGAAUAAUAUUAGCUGUUUAAAUUUCUAAUUUGGUUGAAGAAAAUGUAUUGUCUUUCACCUAUCUUGUAACUAUAGUAAGAUCACUGAUGAACUGAGAAAGGUGGUGCAGCAAAUUUUAUUUUUAACUCAAAAAAAUUUAAGAUCUUUAAUCAUGUAUUAGGCGUCAAGUCAACUCAAACAAAGAAAGCCAAGAUCGCUG
rnacentral:lncRNA from 1 species